UACGGAGGAUGCGAGCGUUAUCCGGAUUUAUUGGGUUUAAAGGGUGCGUAGGCGGGCUUUUAAGUCAGCGGUAAAAAUUCGGGGCUCAACCCCGUCCGGCCGUUGAAACUGGGGGCCUUGAGUGGGCGAGAAGAAGGCGGAAUGCGUGGUGUAGCGGUGAAAUGCAUAGAUAUCACGCAGAACCCCGAUUGCGAAGGCAGCCUUCCGGCGCCCUACUGACACUGAGGCACGAAAGUGCGGGGAUCGAACAGG
rnacentral:rRNA from 1 species